rnacentral:rRNA from 1 species
CCUACGGGAGGCAGCAGUGGGGAAUAUUGCGCAAUGGGCGAAAGCCUGACGCAGCAACGCCGCGUGCGGGAUGACGGCCUUCGGGUUGUAAACCGCUUUCAGCAGGGACGAAACUGACGGUACCUGCAGAAGAAGCACCGGCUAACUACGUGCCAGCAGCCGCGGUGAUACGUAGGGUGCGAGCGUUGUCCGGAAUUAUUGGGCGUAAAGAGCUCGUAGGCGGUCUGUCGCGUCGGAAGUGAAAACUCGGGGCUCAACCCCGAGCCGGCUUUCGAUACGGGCAGACUUGAGGAAUGUAGGGGAGAACGGAAUUCCUGGUGGAGCGGUGGAAUGCGCAGAUAUCAGGAGGAACACCAGUGGCGAAGGCGGUUCUCUGGACAUUAACUGACGCUGAGGAGCGAAAGCGUGGGGAGCAAACAGGCUUAGAUACCCGUGUAGUC